rnacentral:rRNA from 1 species
GGGCUUGACAUCCCGAUCGCACUUCUGGAAACAGAGAGGUCAGUUCGGCUGGAUCGGUGACAGGUGCUGCAUGGCUGUCGUCAGCUCGUGUCGUGAGAUGUUGGGUUAAGUCCCGCAACGAGCGCAACCCUCGUCCUUAGUUGCCAGCAUUAAGUUGGGCACUCUAAGGAGACUGCCGGUGUUAAACCGGAGGAAGGCGGGGAUGACGUCAAGUCCUCAUGGCCCUUAUGUCCAGGGCUACACACGUGCUACAAUGGCCGGUACAAAGGGUAGCAAGACCGCGAGGUGGAGCCAAUCCCAAAAAGCCGGUCUCAGUUCGGAUUGGAGUCUGCAACUCGACUCCAUGAAGUUGGAAUCGCUAGUAAUCGUGGACUUCACGCACUGCCACGGUAGAAUAACGGUUACCGGUCCUU